UACAUGGGCGACGACCGGCAAACGGGUGCGUAACACGUACGCAAUCUACCCACUACAGGGGAAUAGCCCAGGGAAACUUGGAUUAAUACCCCAUAUUAUAUAGGAGUGGCAUCACUUUUAUAUCAAAGCUUCGGCGGUAGUGGAUGAGCGUGCGGUUGAUUAGAUAGUUGGCGGGGUAACGGCCCACCAAGUCUACGAUCAAUAGCUGAUGUGAGAGCAUGAUCAGCCACACGGGCACUGAGACACGGGCCCGACUCCUACGGGAGGCAGCAGUAAGGAAUAUUGGGCAAUGGACGCAAGUCUGACCCAGCCAUGCCGCGUGAAGGAUGAAGGUCCUCUGGAUUGUAAACUUCUUUUAUCUGGGGCGAAAACAACUCUUUCUAGAGUUCUUGACAGUACCAGAGGAAUAAGCACCGGCUAACUCCGUGCCAGCAGCCGCGGUAAUACGGAGGGUGCAAGCGUUAUCCGGAUUCACUGGGUUUAAAGGGUGCGUAGGCGGGUUAG
rnacentral:rRNA from 1 species